rnacentral:rRNA from 1 species
GUCCUUUUGUGAAUAAUUUAAGGUCUAACCUGCCCACUGAAAAUUUAAAUGGCCGUGGUAUUUUGACCGUGCUAAGGUAGCAUAAUCAUUAGUUUUUUAAUUAAAAACUGGAAUGAAAGGUUGGAUAAGAAAAUGACUGUCUCUAUUAAAUUAUUAGAACUUUAUUUUUAAGUUAAAAAGCUUAAUUGUGUUUAAAAGACGAGAAGACCCUAUAGAGUUUAAUUAUUAAAUAAAAAUUAUAUUUUAGAAUUUAUUUAUAUAUUUUAUUAAAUAAUUUAAUUGGGGUGAUUGAAAAAUUUAAUAAACUUUUUUUAUUUUUGAACAUAAAUUUAUGAAUAAAUGAUCCAAUAUUUUUGAUUAUAAGAUAAAAUUACCUUAGGGAUAACAGCGUAAUUUUUUUAUAGAGUUCAUAUUAAAAGAAAAGAUUGCGACCUCGAUGUUGGAUUAAAAUAAAUUUUUGGUGUAGAAGCUAAAAUAUUAGGUCUGUUCGACCUUUAAAAUUUUAC